rnacentral:rRNA from 1 species
UACAGAGGUCCCAAGCGUUGUUCGGAUUCACUGGGCGUAAAGGGUGCGUAGGUGGUGAGGUAAGUCGGAUGUGAAAUCUCCGAGCUCAACUCGAAAAUGGCAUUGGAAACUACCUUGCUCGAGGGUUGGAGGGGGGACUGGAAUGCUUGGUGUAGCAGUGAAAUGCGUAGAUAUCAAGCGGAACACCAGUGGCGAAGGCGAGUCCCUGGACAACUCCUGACACUGAGGCACGAAAGCUAGGGGAGCAAACAGG